rnacentral:rRNA from 1 species
GAUGAACGCUGGCGGCGUGCCUAAUACAUGCAAGUCGAGCGAACGGACGAGAAGCUUGCUUCUCUGAUGUUAGCGGCGGACGGGUGAGUAACACGUGGAUAACCUACCUAUAAGACUGGGAUAACUUCGGGAAACCGGAGCUAAUACCGGAUAAUAUUUUGAACCGCAUGGUUCAAAAGUGAAAGACGGUCUUGCUGUCACUUAUAGAUGGAACCGCGCUGCAUUAGCUAGUUGGUAAGGUAACGGCUUACCAAGGCAACGAUGCAUAGCCGACCUGAGAGGGUGAUCGGCCACCCUGGAACUGAGACACGGUCCAGACUCCUACGGGAGGCAGCAGUAGGGAAUCUUCCGCAAUGGGCGAAAGCCUGACGGAGCAACGCCGCGUGAGUGAUGAAGGUCUUCGGAUCGUAAAACUCUGUUAUUAGGGAAGAACAUAUGUGUAAGUAACUGUGCACAUCUUGACGGUACCUAAUCAGAAAGCCACGGCUAACUACGUG